GGGGCGGGCAGUAGCAGUGCGCGGAGUGGCAUCGCGCAAGGGCCGGGCACCGCCGGGGACGGAGGGUGCCAGCAUGGCUCUGGAUUUCCUCGCGGGAUGCGUCGGCGGUGCUGCAGGAGUGCUGGUAGGACACCCGUUUGACACUGUUAAGGUGGGUUGAUUAUGAAAUACCUUUGUCUCUAGAUACAAAUUUUUCCAAGGAAUGGGGGAGGGGAAAAAAAAAAAAUCCCCAGACACUAUGGGAGCAUAAAUCUGUGCUGAAAGCCUGGAGUAAGCCUCCCCAACCACUGUUGUAGAUUUGCAGCUCUUCAGAACUGGAAAAAAACUCCUUAUGUAUGAUUCAACCCAGGAAUGUGACAAAUAUUGGCCUAAAUCUCAAGUUUGUUAGUGUAGUAACAAUGUUGUAUUUGAAAAUACAAUCUUCCAUUCAACUUACUUUUGUUCUAAGCUUGCUUCUCUGCAGCUGUUCAUCACUAACUGCUGAAACUGCCUCCCUCUGCUUUUGUAACUCAAACCUGCUUUGUUACUAGGUUGAAAAUUUGUGUUUUGUUUUCCCCCUCAAGCUCUGCUACUUACCCCUCAAGCAUUAAUUUGUUACAUGAGCCAAAGGGUGUAAGUGCACAUCAUCCACAGCAUGAAGCUUGUCUGGGGUCUUUUUCUUCCUUUUAAGUAUUAUUAUAUAUUUUUAUAACUCUACAAGUUAAGAUUGAUUUUUCUGAUGGUCUGUAAGCCACAUGUAUCAAUCAUACUAAGGGUAGCUACUUCAAAGAUAAGAUUUGAAACCUAAAAUCCUUGAAUCCAAAGUCUCGCACUGGAAGAACAGAAGGCGGCAUGCCAGUAUAUUCCCUGCUGAAUUAAUACAGCUGAUCACUUGACUGCAGCAGACAGCACGCCACCUGCUAGACCUGUAUUUGGAAUAACUCUACCUUGCUGAAUUUAGAUAUGCAAAAGGCUAAUAGUAUUACCGAGGUCAUCACCAUAUUCUGUGUUCUAGCACGUGGUUAAUUCAACACAGACCUUCCUAGCUUGGAUAUUAGUCCUUGCUAGUCAAGUGCAAGCUGCUGAAAUAGCAAAACCUGUAUGUUUAUCAGAAUACAACAAAUUUAACUGUGAAGUAAUUGGGUUGGAUCCUCAUAUGUUUUCAGGAGUGAUAUUAUCCAGACUUGCACAUUUUUUUACGGUGGUUCAGGGCCAGCUGUCUCUCUUCUCUCGCCCCCAUCCUGCCAAGUUUUACAUACUUAACUGAAGGUGAUGGGUCAUUUCACUGAAGCUGGCAAAACUGCUAAAAUUCUGUGCUCAGUCUAAAGUUAACCCUGUGUGGGGUCUUUCUGGUUUAUAAAGUGGAAUAGCUUCUAGUGCAUGAAACUAAACAUUGCAGUGUCUGCAAAACUGUGGCUCCCAUGCUAGUUCCAGCAUAUACAUUAAUGCAAUUAGAUGUGUUGGCUUUAGAGAAAGUGUCUUGCUUUACAAUAGAACAAAUAGUUUGUUUCUGGAUGACUUUAAAUGUUUUGUGAAAUCCAGCAUGGCACGCUAUAUUUUCAUACCCAUUAGAAGGUAUUAUGAACAUUUAUCUGUUUUUGUUAAAUACUAAUAUUUAUGUUAUUAGCUGGCAUAGCCACCACUGUGUGUGGGGAAAACUAACACUAUAACCAGUCUUCAAAAA
ensembl:lncRNA